rnacentral:rRNA from 1 species
AACGAACGCUGGCGGCGUGGAUAAGACAUGCAAGUCGAACGGGACAGACCGAGUAGCAAUAUUUGGAAUGUUCAGUGGCGAACGGGUGCGUAACACGUGGAUAACAUUCCGGAAAGCGGGGAAUAGCCCAGGGAAACUUGGAUUAAUACCGCAUGUGGCCGCAAGGCUAAAGACGGGGACCGCAAGGCCUGUCACUUUCCGAUUGGUCCGCGGCCUAUCAGCUAGUUGGCGGGGUAAUGGCCCACCAAGGCUACGACGGGUAGCUGGUCUUAGAGGACGACCAGCCACACUGGAACUGAGACGCGGUCCAGACACCUACGGGUGGCAGCAGUCGAGAAUCUUUCACAAUGGGGGCAACCCUGAUGGAGCGACGCCGCGUGGAGGAUAAGGUCUUCGGAUUGUAAACUCCUGUCAUGCGAGAACAAGGUACUCAGGCUAAUAACCUGACUGUUUGAUGGUACCGCAAGAGGAAGAGACGGCUAACUCUGUGCCAGCCGCCGCAGUAACAC